CAUAAGAGAUUAGAAAAUAUAAAUUCAGAUCUAUGAUUUUUACACGGGGCGCGACAACGCUUGCCGCGUGGCAACCAGCGCAUGGCAACAACGUGGUAGCCAAUCCCGCUUUUCUGUAAUCGCGCGCGUAUCUACUUUUGUUUCUCUCUCCCGCGAUCUCGCGCGCGCUUCGUGCCUCGUGGUGCUAGUCGUGCCUCGUGCCUCGUGUCUCGUGUGCCGUGUGAUGGUGUGGUCGGUGUGCGCCUCGUGCCUCUGCAAUUUGAUCCUGAUUUGUACCCUGGGUUCGAUAAUCUAGACACUAGAUUAUCGAACCUCGAGCCAUUAGCAUUUUGGCGAGCAUUUCUUUAUCUUUUGCCAAAUCACGUAACAAAUACUUGCCGAAAUGCUCAUGACUCGAAGUUCUGUUUGAUUCAAUAAUCUGGAUGAACAUUAUCAUAUACAAUUUACGCGUACUAAGUAAAGCUACGUUCCGUUUCACGCAUGAUGCGCAUGAUGUAUUCGUCCUUGUAUCGGACAUUCUAUGAAAUGGUAUCCGGUGACAAUCCUAGCAGCCUUGCGAUCGAAGAUAAUUCUAAGUUAAAGUCUAAACGGAACACUAUCAACAAGCUAAAUACCAUCCUUCAAGGUUAUUAAAGACGACAAAGGCGUUUGGAAGAAAAACUCAAGCAAGCUUCGAACAUGAUGGCACGCGACAUGACGUUUCAAGUAACCUCAGAAAAGUACAAGAUAUCGAUUAGCACUAUUCGCUUCUACAUAGUCAGAGAGGGCAUUCUGCAGAGGAGAAAACGCGCGGCCGUGGCUCCAGUAAUCUCAGUAUGAACAGUCAACCGAGUAGCCCCAUCAGUCUACCGUAUCAGAUGAUGUAUUAUCGUUUGUCAGAGAGCCUAAAUUCCAGCCUACAGUAGUGCUGUAUAAAAAAGCAGUGAGUUUUUUUUUAGAUUUCGGUUUUGACUCGGACAAAUUUUUUAUCGCCACAUCAUAGAGCUGUUCCAGACCGUCUUGUCAAUUUUUAUACUUUAGCUCCUUUACCAAGUAUUUUAUUUUCCUUUUUUUUUCAUUUUUAAUUUGCGUCUCAUUAUUCAUUUGUACUCGUAGAGGCGCGUUCACACGCUGGUUUACAAGACUUUUAUGUUCACAUAAUUUGAGUCUCGAACAGCUCCGCUCAUGUAUAUACAAAGAAGAUACCAUAUGUAAAAGUUCGGCACACAUUAAGUUAAGAAACUUGCAGACGAUCGUGUCUUACACCAUGUUUAUGUUAGAUUUAGUGCCCUUAGAAAUACUGCUUGAAUCCCAGUUUUUUUUUUAGUACGAAGAUACUGGUUAUUAUAGAGUGUACUGGAGUACGAUCGUAUACUUACAUGUAUUAUAAUAACGCUAUGUAGAGCCAGUGGCAAGUGACGCAGAUGAUAUUCUCGAUGUAAUUUUCGGUUCGCCUCUUUUAUGAGAUUCGCGAAUAGUGAAAACGGAUUCGUUUGCCAGUAGAGUGAUUCUUUGAUAAAAUCAAAAGACGCGAAUCAUUACGAAACAUGAUUAUUUCUAUAAUGCAUUAUAUAAAUAAAUUGGAUAAAAUGGUAGAUGUGAAAUAAAUAAGUGAUACAGAAUGGUCGCUUAUCAAAUAAGAGAGGAAGAAAGGGGGUUUGUUUUUCGAUCCUGUCUUUUAGCAUAAGUUAUUUUCUGAGUUUAUUAUUCUUCUAAAACUAAAAGACGCAAACAAAUUCGAAAAAAAUUUAGUUGUGUUCUUCGGAAAAUUUAGAGCUGAAAAAAAGACAGGAACGUCUUUUUUAUACUUUCUCCCUAACACGUUAACUUUCUUUGAUUUCUCUGAUAUGUGCUACAUUUUCUAAGAUCCUCGAUUUACUCGGCUGUUUGGAAGGUAUUCUAUUUCUUUUUUUUUUUAUUCUUUUCAGCUUAUUUUUUGGACAAUAAAUUUUCGCAAAUCUACUGCAAAUUAUGAAUCGAGAAUAGAUUGUGGAAAAUAUUCAGUUUUUUUAUAUUUUAAACAAUUAUUAACUAUUUCCAUAUUUUGUAAAACGAAACGAAUGUACAGAUUCAUUGUAAACAUACCUAUAUGUUUUUAUGUGCAUAUGAUAAUUAUAAUAUUGAUGUUAAUUAUAAAAUUCUGAAUUUGUUUAUUGCAAUACAUACGUUUAAUUGGAUUUCAAGUUAUUAGAAGUUCUAUUUCCAUAUUUUGUGACACGAAACGAAUGUACAGAUACAUUGUAAACAAACCUAUAUGUUUUUAUGUGCAUAUGAUAAUUAUAACAUUGAUGUUAAUUAUAAAAUUCUGAAAUUGUUUAUAGCAAUACAUACAUUCUAUUUUCAUAUUGUGUGAAACGAAACGAACGUACAGAUAUAUUGUGAACAUACCUAUGUUUUACAUAUUUAAAGUAUGUUAAAAUAAAAUAAAUUAAUUUCAAAUCUA